AUGUUUGAUCCUGUUAUGGAUUUGAACCCGCAUAUUUUAUGCUGGAAUGUGAGGGGCCUUAAUUGCCCUGCCAAAAAGAAGGCAGUCCGGGAGUUUGUGACUUCGGUGCAAGUUAACCUAGUGUGUUUGCAAGAAACGAAACUAGAUGUAAUUGAUCCCUUCAUAACUAUGCAAUGUAUUGGACCGUCCCUUGACGGCUUUGCUUAUCUCCCAGCGCAUGAAACUCGUGGUGGUAUCCUAUUGGCGUGGGAUAAAACGGUCAUGGACGUUGAUAACAUAACACUUGACGGCAACUCGCUCACGGGCCUGGUGCACAAUAAAGAUGGGGCGGUUUGGUGGAUCACGGUGGUGUAUGGCCCCCAAGGGAAUGAGCUAAAAAUAAAUUUCCUGGAGGAGCUUAGGAGCAGGAGAGCUACUUGCCAGGGACCGUGGAUGGUUCUUGGUGACUUCAACAUGAUCCUACGUGCUUCGGAUAAGAAUAACACUAACCUCAAUAGGACGAUGAUGAGGAAGUUCCGGGAUUUUGUGGACGAGCAUGAACUGAAAGAGCUUUACCUGCAUUUCUCUGAUAGCUUGCUACAAGCUCUAUCAACAAAUGUGUCAGAUCAUGCGCCUUUGCACUUGUCCACAAGUGCACAAUUCUGUCCUAAAAGGAGAUUCCGGUUUGAGAUUUUUUGGACUAAGCUUGAGGGAUUCCUGGAGGCGGUCCAGGAGGCUUGGGUAUGCGAUGACUCAAUCACGGAUCCUUUCAAACGACUGGAUGCACUUCUCAGGAACACGGCCGUGUUUUUGCAAGCCUGGGGACAGCGAAAAGUUGGUAACAUCAAAUUGCAAAUCGCAGUGGCCAACUAUGUGAUACUUCGUCUAGACAGAGUCCAAGAGUUCAGAGCUCUAUCUCCCGAGGAACUGUGGCUUAGACGUAUGCUUAAGUUGGCAGUCCUGGGAUUGGCGUCUCUGGAAAGAACGAUCGUGCGUUAG
rnacentral:rRNA from 1 species